AGUGAGUCAAAGCAACCAGAAUUUCCCUUCCCAAGGAAAGUGCAUUUUUAAAUGAUCAUUGUGGACCACUGUGAAGAUAAUGCAUUGUUGAGAAGACGGAAUUGAAGUUGGAAGCCACUUUUAGGCUAUUGUAAGAGAUGAUGAUGACUUGGACCAUAAAAGCGGCUUUGAAACAAAAAUACACGGGAAAUUAAAGAUGCAGUUUGAAAGGUGCAUCCACUGGAUUCAAUGACUGAUGGGAUGAGAAGGGUUUGGCUAAACUGUUAUGAGGACAAGCUAUUCCAGAGCAACCAUGUUGUAAGAUCAAAACAUGUGGCGACCUGAUCCCCAUUCUUAGUGGGCUGGAGGACUGGGCAACCAAAUUCUGGCUGGUAUGGAGUGCCUGAGCAGUAGUGCACAAAGAGGAGACACAGAAAAACAAAUACUCCAUGGUCUUCCUGAGGGCAUGUCGGUGAUGAAACUAUCACUACUGUUCAAGGUGCCAGAAGUUUGACUUACCAUCGCUUUUGAACAAUCAUCACUACAUGUCAGCGUGGGAAAAAGAAUAAAAUAACAUCUUAAUAUUAUUAUGAAAACAGUUUUGGCCUCAUGGACCCCUUGAAAACCUAUCAGGGAAUCAACAACAUAUUCUGCUUUUCUAGCUAAUGCAGAGAACAGAGGAGAGAUGAGGCAAAAGGGAAUAUUAGACAGAUUCAAAGCUUGAAAAGGACUUGAUCCACUAUGAGGCCAUUAAUGAAGGAAUGCAGGCUGCCUGUAACAGUUGAAAAUCACCCCAGCCAACACCCAGCAAGGAAAUGGAGACCAUAGUCCUCUAACUGUAUGGAACUGAAUUCUGCCAACAAAGUGAAUAAGAUGGGAAGUGAAGACCCUCCCAGAGCCUCCAGAAAGGAAGAGAGCCAUUCAGACACCUUGAUUUCAGCCUUCUGAAACUUGGAGCAGAGAGCCGGCUGUGUCAACCUGAACCUGGGUUUUUAACCUACAAAACUGAGAAAUAAUGAAUAGUGAUUUUUUUU
rnacentral:lncRNA from 1 species